rnacentral:rRNA from 1 species
AUGGCCGACGCACCGGAGCAGCCUACGCCAGACCCGCCCACACCGCCGCAGGAGGCCAUCCAAAGGCCUAAGAAAAAUAAGAAAGGCCGCAGGAAGAAACCGAAGAAAGCCGCCGCCGCCACUGCCGCCCCGUCCUCCUCUGGCGCCACCAUGGUCGAGGACCCCUUCCUCGUCCUCGCCGGCGGCAAGGAAGGAGGGUUCCUGGAGCUGGAGGAGAUCGACGGGGCCGACUUCGGGAUCUUCGGGAGCGUCGUGGAGGACGUGGGAGGAAGUGAGAAGAAAGCGUGGAAUGACCAGAAGAAGAAGAGGAAGAAGAAACGCAAGCGAGGGGAUGCCAAGCGCUUGGAUGGCGAUGCAGGCGGCGAUGGUGAUGGUGAUGGCGAUUGUGCAGGCGAUUCGGUAGCUGAGAGCGAGGAGGAGGGUGAGAAGGGUGAGAAGAAAGGAAAGAGGAAGAAGAGGAACAAGAAGAAGAGGAAGGUGAAGGAUAAUGAUUCAGAGAGCAAGGAGGACGUUGCUGAUGACAAUGUGGAAGAUAUGCAAGAUGACAUUGAAAAUAUGGAACAAGACAACAAAGAGGAGGUGAAAUUGGGUGAGGAUGAACUUUAUGCGUGGCUAGAGCUAAGAUUGCAUCCCCUUCUUAUCAAGGCAAUGCACAGGCUUGGGUUCAAUGAACCAACACCUAUACAGAAGGCUUGCAUUCCUGCAGGGGCUCAUCAAGGCAAGGAUGUUAUUGGAGCAGCUGAGACAGGUUCUGGCAAGACACUUGCUUUUGGUCUCCCUAUUUUGCAGCGCCUUCUUGAAGAACGAGAGAAGACCACAAGAUUACAUGUAGAAGAUGAAAAAGCAGCGGAGGGAAGUUCUACAGGAGGCCCACUCAGAGCACUUAUUUUGACACCCACCAGAGAACUUGCCAAACAGGUCUGUGAUCAUCUAAAAGAAGCAGCUAAGUUCUUAGGAAUUCAUGUUGUUCCUAUUGUUGGUGGUUUAUCCAUGGAAAAGCAAGAACGACUUUUGAAAAAGAAACCUGAAAUUGUUGUUGGAACUCCAGGAAGACUAUGGGAGCUAAUGUCAUCAGGCAAUCAGCACUUAGUUGAGCUUCAUUCAUUGUCAUUCUUCGUGUUGGACGAGGCUGAUAGAAUGAUAGAGCGUGGUCAUUUUAAAGAAGUGCAAUCUAUAAUUGAGAUGCUUCCAUUAUCCAAUAGUUCUGAUGAGCAAACUGUAAAAGCCACGUCAAGCUGUGAAACUGUAGCAAAUUUGCAAAUAAAGAAGAGGCAAACCUUUGUCUUCUCGGCAACGCUUGCGCUUUCAGCUAAUUUUCGUAAGAAGUUGAAGCGUGGGCUUUCUACUUCAAAGACAGCGACGGCUGAUGAUCUUAGUUCUAUUGAAGCACUUUCAAAGCAGGCUGGUAUGAAACCUAAUGCAGAAAUAGUUGAUUUGACAAAUGCUUCGAUCUUGCCUGAGAAACUUGAAGAAUCAUUCAUCGAGUGUAGUGAUGAUGAUAAGGAUGCCAACCUUUAUUAUAUAUUGAGUGUUCAUGGGCAAGGCCGCACGAUAGUAUUUUGCACAUCGAUUUCCGCACUGCGCCACAUUUCUUCCUUAUUACGCACUCUUGGAAUAAAUGUCUUGACAAAUCAUGCUCAAAUGCAACAAAGGGCUCGCAUGAAGGCUGUGGAUCGUUUCCGUGAAGGUGAGAACUCCGUUUUGGUCGCGACUGAUGGUUUUGCAAGGGGCAUGGACUUUGAUAAUGUUCGAACUGUUAUCCAUUAUCAACUGCCACACUCAAGUGAUGUUUAUAUCCACAGGAGUGGAAGGACAGCGCGUAAAUCAUUGACUGGCUGCAGUAUUGCAUUAAUCUCCCCUGCCGACAAAGCCAAGUUUUACUCUCUUUGCAAGUCAUUUUCAAAGGAGAACCUGCAGCAGUUUCCUGUUGAUCAGGCCUACAUGCCUGCAAUAAUGAAUAGGCUCUCCCUUGCUCGGCAGAUUGACAAGAUAUCAAGUAAAAAUUCAAAGGAAAAUGCUAACAAAUCCUGGCUUCAGAGGAAUGCUGAAUCCAUGGGUUUGAUAUUGGAGGCUAGUGACAGUGAGGAAGAACGUGUACGGGGCCACAAGCAACGAAAGGCGACUUCGGCACAGCUCCAGAAACUUCAACAGGAUUUGAAUGAACUCUUGCAACAUCCCUUGCAGCCUAAGACAUUCUCACGCCGCUAUUUGGCUGGGGCUGGUAUUUCACCAUUGCUUCAAAAGCAACUAGAAGAGUUGUCCAAAAGGCAUGUAAACAGUAAUAGCAGUAAUGACAAUAAUAAAGGAUCGCGGUUUGUUAUGAUUGGCCAGGAUCGUGUGGAACCGUUGAAAGCUCUUCAAGAUUCUGGGCAAGAGAUUUGUGUGAACAUGGACAAGCAAAGGGAGAAGAGAAGACUUGCUGAGAAUUGGAGGCGAAAGAAACACGAAGAGAAGAAAAGCACACGAGAACAAAAGAGAAAGGACAGGAGAAGUGCUAAAGAGAGGGACUGA